GUCCAGACUCCUACGGGAGGCAGCAGUGAGGAAUAUUGGUCAAUGGGCGGGAGCCUGAACCAGCCAAGUCGCGUGAGGGACGACGGUCCUAUGGAUUGUAAACCUCUUUUGUCGGGGAACAAAGGCGCCCACGGGUGGGCGGAUGAGUGUACCCGAAGAAAAAGCAUCGGCUAACUCCGUGCCAGCAGCCGCGGUAAUACGGAGGAUGCGAGCGUUAUCCGGAUUUAUUGGGUUUAAAGGGUGCGUAGGCGGGCUUUUAAGUCAGCGGUAAAAAUUCGGGGCUCAACCCCGUCCGGCCGUUGAAACUGGGGGCCUUGAGUGGGCGAGAAGAAGGCGGAAUGCGCGGUGUAGCGGUGAAAUGCAUAGAUAUCGCGCAGAACCCCGAUUGCGAAGGCAGCGUGCCGUGCCGCCACUGACGCUGAGGCACGAAAGCGCGGGGAUCGAACAGGAUUAGAUACCCCCGUAU
rnacentral:rRNA from 1 species